rnacentral:lncRNA from 1 species
AUGGCUGGUCGUCCUCCCGGGGGGAGCCAGCCCCGCUUCAUGCCCUCCCCCGACCCGAGCCAGGGGCGUGUGGCCUGGCUUCCAAUGCCCAGCAUCCUCUCACUGAAGCAGGCCCCCAGCUCCGUGCGGCCCCCUGGACUCCGGGGCCAGCAGGGCCGUGGCCCUCAGCGCACUGAGGCUCUGACUGUCUCUCCUCUGUUCUCCCUCCCAGGCUGCCUGUUUGAGGAUGGCCUCUGCAGACCCGCUGAGACCUGUGUGAACGACGGAGUGUUCGGACGGUGUCAGGAGUUUCCGGCCACGGACGCGCUCCGCUAUGAAGUGUCACCGGGGGUUCUGCAGCACCUGACGGCCACCCUGCAGAGGCUCUCCCGCACAGGUCUCACGUGGCAGGAUGACUACACCCAGCGCGUGAUGGCCCGGGAACUCGCCAGCCUGCCCCAGACGCACCCGCGCCACCCCGAGGUGUCCAGCCCCGCCAGGAGCUCGAAGCAGAGCGUCCCGGACGAGCGGAGCCUCAGCCUGGAGGGCGGCAUGCUGGCCGAGGCCCUGCAGCGCUACCUGCCCUACCUGGAGGCCCUGUCCCAGGCUGCCACCGCCGACGCGCUCCCGGGGCCGGAGCUGGACAGGCCACCUGCCCAGGGUGAGGACCCCCUGGCCGACAGCAUGCUAACCUUCGUGGCCCAGACGUCCGCUCUGACCUACGCUCCCGCGGCGCGCGCCGACCUCGCAGGGGGCCGCCCCCUGCGCACGCUCCGCCGGCUCCAGCCAGACGAGCUCAGCCCCAAAGUGGCCGGCGGGGUGGACAGGCAGCGUCUGGUGGCUGCACUGGGCGCCUACGCGGCCCGGAAGGCCCCUGCGCCCUCCAGGGACGGCGACCCCGCGCCCCGCGGCCUUGUGCGUGCGCCUUGGAGAGCGCCCCGGGUCCUGUCGGCGGCGCCGGCGGCCCCCCAGAGAUGGCCUUCGCCUGCGGACCCCAGAGACGCCCCGGUCACAGACGAUGAAGCUCGUGUUCAGACACUGCUGAAGGACCUGCGGAAGCGCCCGGCCGGUGUGGAGGGUCUGAGUGCCCUGGACGUGGACGAGGUGGCCCGUGCCCUUGCGAGUGCAAUGCCAAGUGGGGGCGUGGCCGGGGUGCCGGGCACGGCCGGGAGGAGCGGUGGACGCGGAGCGGAGGCGAACAGUGCGGGGGCCGCCCUGCACAGAGACCGCGUGCCAGAGAGGAGACUGCAAGACAGCGACGGGGGACUCUACCAGGAGGUGAACCGUCUGGGCGUCCAACUGGGGGACUUCCUGCAGGGCCCUCGGUCUCCAUUCCUGCCUGCAGCCCCCCGUCUCACCGAGCCCUUCAAGACGGAGAGCAAGAAAGGGGAUGACGCAGAGGCUUCGCUGUCUUCGGAGGAGGAGCGUGCGGGCGUGGAGAACGUGCGGAGCCAGACCUACUCCAAGGAGCUGCUGCAGAGGCCGCUGCAGGAGAGGCCCGGGCUGGGCACGGCCCCCCAGGAGGACCUGCACCUCGGGGCUGGCGCACAGGAACCCCCCGGCCCAGACCUGCGGCUGCAAGUCCAGGCCCCCGAGGAGGAGUAUGGCUACAUCGUGAUGGAAAAUGACUCCCUGAGCCUGGACGAGGGCACGCAGGCGCUGGAGGGCGUGGCGCGGCUCCUGGAGGUGCCGGCGGGUGUCUUCACGGACGUUGAGGUCGAGGGGCCAGCGGUGACCUUCAGGGUGCGCGCCAACGCCCAGAACGUGACCGCGGCGGCCGCGGCGAAGGCGGCAGCCGACAACAAGGAGAAACUGCAGACCAUGUCUGGGCUGAGAGUUCUUCAGGCCGGAGUCGGCUCGGAGCUGUGCCGUCAGCGCAUGGCGGUGCGCACGACCGAGCGCCCCGAGGCCACACACACGUCCCGCGUCAGCAGUGUGUCCUCCCAGUUCAGCGACGGGCCCAUGCCCAGCCCCUCCGCGCGGAGCAGCACCUCGUCCUGGUCAGAGGAGCCCGUGCAGCCCAACAUGGACAUCUCCACUGGCCACAUGGUCCUGGCCUACAUGGAGGACCACCUGAAGAACAAGAACCGCCUGGAGAAGGAGUGGGAGGCGCUGUGUGCCUACCAGGCCGAGCCCAACAGCUCGCUCGUGGCCCAGAGGGAGGAGAACCUGCCGAAGAACCGCUGCCCCGCGGUGCUCACCUAUGACCACUCCCGGGUCCGGCUGAAAUCAGAGAACAGCCACAGCAGCUCCGACUACAUCAACGCCAGCCCCAUCAUGGACCACGACCCCAGGAAGCCCGCGUACAUCGCCACCCAAGGACCCCUGCCCUCGACUGUGGCUGACUUCUGGCAGAUGGUGUGGGAGAGCGGCUGCGUGGUCGUCGUCAUGCUGACCCCCCUCUCGGAGAGCGGCGUCCGGCAGUGCUGCCACUACUGGCCCGACGAGGGCUCCAGCCUCUACCACAUCUACGAGGUGCAUCUGGUCUCUGAGCACAUCUGGUGCGAGGAUUUCCUCGUGAGGAGCUUCUACCUGAAGAACCUGCAGACCAACGAGACCCGCACGGUGACUCAGUUCCACUUCCUGAGCUGGUAUGACCAGGGGGUGCCUUCCUCCACCAGGUCCCUCCUGGAUUUCCGCAGAAAAGUAAACAAGUGCUACAGGGGCCGUUCUUGUCCAAUAAUUGUCCACUGCAGUGAUGGCGCCGGCAGGAGUGGCACCUACGUCCUGAUCGACAUGGUUCUCAAUAAGAUGGCCAAAGGUGCCAAGGAGAUCGACAUUGCCGCCACCCUGGAGCAUCUUCGGGACCAGCGACCAGGCAUGGUCCAGACUAAGGAGCAGUUCGAGUUCGCCCUGACGGCCGUGGCCGAGGAGGUGAACGCCAUCCUCAAAGCCUUUCCCCAGUGAGGCCGGAGGCGCCCACGACCGGGGCCCCGUCAGCGCCCACGGACGCCGUGCCCGCCUCUCCUGCGGCAGCUGCCUAGUGAUCUAGUCCUUAAGACUCUACAGUCAGUGCAGCUUAGCAGUUAAAACGUGUGUUUUUGUUCAGCCAAAUAAUAAAGGGAGGUCUACGGGCA